GCGUCAGUGGUUUAGUGGUAAAAUCCAUCGUUGCCAUGUUUCAACAUCUCGAUGGGCCCCGCGUUCGAUUCGCGGCUGACGCA